UACGAAGGGGGCUAGCGUUGCUCGGAAUCACUGGGCGUAAAGGGUGCGUAGGCGGGUCUUUAAGUCGGAGGUGAAAUCCUGGAGCUCAACUCCGGAACUGCCUUCGAUACUGAAGAGCUCGAGUCCGGGAGAGGUGAGUGGAACUGCGAGUGUAGAGGUGAAAUUCGUAGAUAUUCGCAAGAACACCAGUGGCGAAGGCGGCUCACUGGCCCGGUACUGACGCUGAGGUGCGAAAGCGUGGGGAGCAAACAGG
rnacentral:rRNA from 1 species